rnacentral:rRNA from 1 species
AGAGUUUGAUCCUGGCUCAGGUUGAACGCUGGCGGCAGGCCUAACACAUGCAAGUCGAGCGGUAACAGGACUAGCUUGCUAGUUGCUGACGAGCGGCGGACGGGUGCGUAACACGUAGGAAUCUACCCAGUAGCGGGGGAUAGCCCGGAGAAAUCCGGAUUAAUACCGCAUACGCCCUACGGGGGAAAGCAGGGGAUCUUCGGACCUUGCACUAUUGGAUGAGCCUGCGUCGGAUUAGCUAGUUGGUGGGGUAAAGGCCUACCAAGGCGACGAUCCGUAGCUGGUCUGAGAGGAUGAUCAGCCACACUGGGACUGAGACACGGCCCAGACUCCUACGGGAGGCAGCAGUGGGGAAUAUUGCACAAUGGGCGAAAGCCUGAUGCAGCCAU